GGCAAGAAGGGGAACCGCGUUAUCAUGACAAAGUCAUUCUCAUAUAUUUUAGACUAUAAGUCACUUUUUUUUUCAUGGUUUGGCUGCUGGUCCUGCCUACGACUCCUACUCAGGUGCCACUUGUAUCGUGUAUAUUCAAAUUAGAGCUUGGACCGGCUGUCCGAGCUUGUCCAAAAUCAUCGUGGAUGCGUUCGGAAAUAUACUCUGAGCCAGCACCACUUCACUCUGACUGUUCGGUAACUCGUGCGUUAUUCAAAUGUGAUAUUUGGUUAUUCCGAUCCAGCCCCC